GGUAAGAUGGCCGAGUGGUCUAAGGCGCCAGGUUCAGGUCUGCAAUAGCUUGAGCGAAUUAUUCAAUUUCCUGGUCCAGGUAACUGGGCGUGAGUUCGAAUCUCACUCUUAUCA